GAUGAAGAACGCAGCGAAAUGCGAUAAGUAGUGUGAAUUGCAGAAUUCAGUGAAUCAUCGAAUCUUUGAACGCACAUUGCGCCCCUUGGUAUUCCAUGGGGCAUGCCUGUUCGAGCGUCAUUUGUACCUUCAAGCUUUGCUUGGUGUUGGGUGUUUGUCUCGCCUCUGCGUGUAGACUCGCCUCAAAACAAUUGGCAGCCGGCGUAUUGAUUUCGGAGCGCAGUACAUCUCGCGCUUUGCACUCAUAACGACGACGUCCAAAAGUACAUUUUUACACUCUUGACCUCGGAUCAGGUAGGGAUACCCGCUGAACUUAAGCAUAUCAAUAGCGGAGGA
rnacentral:misc_RNA from 1 species